GGGGGAUUUAACAAAGAACAAAAAAGGUGGGCAUCUGCUGACAUGAGGGCAGAAGUCAGGCUCUAGGCAGCAGGUACUCUUCGUCUU
ensembl:miRNA Mir680-3 microRNA 680-3